GGUUGCCUAGAAAAUCAAAACAGCUGAAGAACGUGGAGAAAAAAUCCAUGGGUUCAGAACCCACGAAGCUGGCGGUUUCCACAAUUUCAGAACCCAUCACCACCAUGUUACUUAUAUUUUCUUCCUCCACUUUACUGGCAUCCUUUUCUGCUUCAGAAACCGAAAUCGCGAGUAACCACAGUGUAAAGACUGAGCAGAUUUCUGUUUCGCUUUCAGCCAAUUACGACUCUGUUUGGAUCUCCUGGGUUACAGGGGAAUCGCAAAUUGGCUACAAGAUAAAGCCAUUGGACCCCAAAAGUGUGGCAAGUGUUGUUCGUUAUGGGAAGCUGAGAUAUCCACCAACGCAUGAAGCAGGAUUAAUCUCUCUCUCUCUCUCUCUCCCUCUCUCUCUCUCUAUCCAGGGGGUUUGGCAUCAUAUAUCAAAACUGCUAGAGAACUCUUAGCCAAUUCAAAAGCUGGAAAGAACCCAUUUGAAGGCUUCACACCUUCUAAAGCGGAAAUUGCCUCGAAAGAGAAAAAUAGGGCAUCUGCUGUUGCACUGAACGCUGAGAUUCGGACGCGCGAUUGCUAGAGGAGGUUCCCAAGUUGCAUAGGUUGGCUGUAAAGGUGACUCGGCUUAAUUCAAGCUAUCCAGGGGGUUUGGCAUCAUA